AUUCGAAGAUGAACGAAUCGGUGCAAUUUUUUGAGUAGACUCUGAUUCCAGGUUUUACGAACCGAUCCUCAAAGUCAAUUCUUCAGUUUAAAACAUUUUAGCUGAUAUUAAUUAAACAUUAAACAAACGAACAGAAAACCCGAGAUCUUGUAAAAUAUAAAAUAAAGAUUUGAUAAUUUUCCAUCAUUCAUAGUCUGAACAUAUCAGAGUGUGGAAUCGACUCCCAGGCUUCAGAGUCGACUCUCUGUAUCCAGCGCCAGAAAUCCUUAGAAUCGACUCUUUUUGGAUUCGAUUCUCAGUCCUAAAGUGAACUAAAAACUUAGUGAAUAAAUAGUAGAAGCAGGCGGAAGAAAAUGUACUCAAAAAGAUUAUACAAGUGGUUUCUUCCAAAAAAUUUAAUGGCAGAAAUAUUUACAUUUGAUGAACAAUAAAUAAACAUCUCAUUGAAAAGAUAACCCAAAGAUUCAAAACUGACCUUGAAGGUCUCCAAACCAUAGUUUUAAACAUAAAAUGAAAGCAGUUGAAUUAAUUGAUUAAAAUCCAAUAGUGCAAUAAAAUGUCAACAAAUGAAUCAACUUAUAUGACAUUCAACAAUGCGGUUACAAAAAGCAAUGAAGCCAAUAAUAAAUCAGACAUUCAGUAAUAUCAGUUACCUUGCAUGCCAUCAUAACAGUGUAUCAAAACAACCCAGGCAACGUAAGAUUAAAGAAACAAAACCAUGAGGAAGAGCAGAAAAUAGUUCUGCUUCAAUGAAGCGUCAUUUAUAUAUUUAUAUAUCUAUAUAUAUCUAUAUAUAUUUCUGUACAAAUCAUGAAUAUUUGGUAUUAUAUUCCUCCUUCGUAUUGAUAUGAUAGCCUAUACAGUAUAAUAAAUGAAAAUAUUCUUAGCUAAACGACUACCGCUUUGUAAAUUAUAUCUUCUCUUUUUUUUUUCUUUUUAAAUGUCUUUUCACAUUUCGAGAACCAAGCGACUUCUCUCGGCCUCUCGUGACUCCACGGAAAGGUGAAUAAAACAUACAGCAGUUUCAGCCGAGAUGGGUUUUCGGAUAUAAAUUCAGUAAUGCAUGGUACAUGUGGAUGGUUUCAAGUAAGAGGAAAUCUAAAGAUGGAUAUCAUCGAACUAGCUUAAUAACGAUCACUGCGCUUUCUUCUGAGCAAGUCAUCCGGGCUGGUAUUAUGGCGCAUCUCUUGAUUUUGGGCAACGUGGCGGUUUCGGAUCGUGAUAAGACUGUACCGGGGAAGAAUUUGGUAAUAGUUUCGACAAAAUGUAGCUGCAAAACUCAACACGAUCUCACGACUCGUCAAAUAAACCGAUGUAAAAAGUCACGGAAGUCUGAAAAGGCGGUAAACUGUAGAAAUUAGCAUGAACCGCGGAGUUUUAAACCGCUUUCUUCAUAAGAAAUCUUUCUUGCUCGUUAUAUUUCUCACAUAUAUUUUGUAAGCUUGAAAAGACUGUGUGUUCACAUCUUGACAGAAUUGCGGUAAUAUGUAUAUACAAUUUUAAUAUUAAAAGUAAUAAUAUCGUCACAGUUACGCAGUGCAGUGGAACUUGAAGAUUAGCUCGAGCAUUAACGUAUGCGUUUUUGCUCUCGUUAUUGUAAUUCGUGACUCCGAAGAGAUUCCCAGCUCUGAGCGGUAUCGAACACUCAUCAUCUCAUCAUGGACAGGAAGUACGAAGACGCAGGGUAAAAUCAUUUCAGGAAGUUUUAUAGACACAUGGAAUUUUAUCCUCUUCGCUCACGAUGGAAUAUAUAUAUAUAUAUAUAUAAACAUAUUUUACCUAAUUUUUGAGCAGUGAAGGAUUCUAGGCUCAAUAAAGAAUAGAAAUGAUUGCUGGGAUUUAGGUUUGACGCAGUAAAGUGACAAAUCCAAACCGGGCCUCGUUGAUUGUUGUAGUGGACGUAAAGUUCUGUUAAGGCUACUUCUAGGAAAACGUGGAAGUGUGGAAAAGGGGGCGUUACCGCAAUUCCAGCAUGACGCGAACACACGACUCGCAUGACUUUGAUAAUAUUUCUGAACUCUUUAUAACUCUGUACCUCUAACAGCGUAGAACAUUCUGGAAACAUGAAGCGCUCUAGGAUUCCAUUACUUUAACCUUCUAAUGAAUACAUCCUGUAUUAAAAGUGUGUAGCAUUUCAACCCUAAGUCUUACUUAAAUAAAUAAAUAAACCUAUGAAUAAAAUCAAUUAAAUAAAUAAAUAAAUAUAUCCUUCGUUUUAAUUUAUUCAUCUUCGGUGAAGUGCUUUAUCCAGGUCGGGGUGGUGGUGGAGCCGGAGUACUGUAUAUCCCGGGAAUACUGAGCGUGAGAUGGGAUGCCAGUACAUCGCAGGGCACCACACACACCUACACACACACACACACACUUUCACACACUCGUUCAGACCUAGGGGGUGAUUUAUCUUAACCAAUUCCCUCACUGGUAUGUUUUAGGGAGGUGAGAGGAAACUGGAAAACCCAAAUUAAAGCCACAUGGUGAGGGGCAGAAUGUAACCCAAACUGAGGAUCGGACUACAAGUAACUAGGAAUAAAAAUAAAUAAGCCACAAUAAAUAACUAAAUAAACGUUAGGGGAAAAAAAAAAUUCAAUCCUAGGCCCUUGUAAAUAAAACCGUUUCUGGGCACUGAUUAAAACUAGUCCUGAGCCUUUAACAUCUAGAAUUAGCAGUCAGUAUACUAACUUGUCCAGUUUUCCAGAUUAUGGAUUAUACCCUAGAUCUACGUAUUCUACGGAAAACACUGUACCAAGAAUUCGGUACCGAAUAAUCUAGAUUUGUUGCGCGCAUGGCUGCGUUUGGGAAUAAGGGAUGAACAGACAUUCUUGGCAAUUAAAAACAAAAAAUCCAACAGAAGACCGAAAUGCUGUCCUGCGCCGGUGAGAAUAACUGAGGGGGGUUGGGGGGUGGGACAGACUUACGAGGUUUGGUGUUUUCACCCUGCAUCUCACACUUACUGAAAGAACUGUACGCUUUUGAGAGUGGAAACCAAUUAAGGGGGUCUGUGAGGAACCCGCGAGAGAAAUCCCACAAUGCACUGCACACAUAACUUCAUUAAUAAGCACCUCACAUAGCUGCAACAAUACACAGGCCACAUCUGCAAAAGCUUCACUUUUUCUUUUUCUUUUUUUUUAAAUAAUCAAAACUCGAAUGCAUAAAAAAAGAGUCCAAAUGUAGCACAAAAACACAUUCAUGAGUAACGAUGGGAGGAAAUACUAACCCCCGGCUAUGGUGUCUAAUAUUGUCCAUGUUUAAUAGGCAAGUAAAAAAUGUCUGAAGUGUAAUAUUCUUUGUGAAUAACUGUUAAGUUGAUUACAGCCGACUUGCUUUUUGUUGCAUUGCGUCACCGCUAAAACGCAUCCCAGCAUGUGACCAUGUCACCGUCUGUAAUGAUACUGUAACGCGACACAGUGUAAGGCAUCAGGAGCGAAGGUAAUCAAUGAGAACGUAAGCGUUAUCCUAAAACGAUCGAUGUCAGGAAUUUGGUUAAACCACAGCAGCUGUAUUUCUGCUGAGGAGGCCAGAAACUUUAGUCCAAAAUCUGCUAAGCAGAAAUUCAGGCCCAGGAAUAAACUCAGGAACUUUAUACUCUGGCCUUUAGCCUAGAAACUUAAGUCCAGCAAGUUUAGUCCAAUGCUUCAGUCUGGGAACUUAAGUCCAGGAAUUUUAUACCUGGAUCUUCACUUUAGUCAAAGAGCUUAAGGUCAAGAACUUAAGCAGAGCAAUUUAAAUCCAGAAAUGUUAACACUUUAGCUUAAGAAGUUUCCGCACAGCAAUUUUAGCCCAGAAACUUAAAUCCAGCAACCUCCAUGAAGGAGUUUAAAUCCAGGAACUAAUGUCUGGGGAAAUAUAAUCCAAGACGUUUAGUUCAGCAAUUUUAAUGGCCACCUCAAUCCAGGAACCUUAUCCAGAAACUUAAGGCCCAGGAACUUUAUUCCAGAGACCUAAGCUCAGAAAUUUCAGCCCAGGAACGUCAGUCCAAAACAGUAGCCCCGAACAUAAGACUGGGAACUUUAGCCAAGGAAUUUAAGGCCAGGAAUUAGGAAGAGACAUUUAUUCCAGAAAACUAAACAGCAGAAUUAUGACCAUAUUUUUUUAGCCAGGAACUGAUGUCUGGGAACUAUAGUCUAAGAACUGCCAUCCAGUCACUUUAGACCAGGGAAAGUUUAGACCAAGGACAGACUUUUAAGACCCAGCAACUUUAUUCCGGUAAUUGUCAUAAGUUUGUUUGCUAGAAUUCCCAGACCUCUGCUUAAGCUGCUGGUCUAAAGGAACACCUUUAAAGGAACACCUUUAGACCAGCAACUUAAGCAAAGGAAUUUAAGACCAACAUUUUUUCACUCAAGGAUCUUAAAUCCAAACAAUCUAAGCCCAGAAACUAGUGUCUGGGAACUAUAGUCUAAGAACUUCCAUCCAGUCUCUUUAGACCAGGAAACUAAGGGCAGACUUUUAAGGCCCAGGAACUUUAUUUCGUUAGCAUAAGAUCAGAGAUUUUAACCCAGUAAUGUAAGACAGGAACUUAAAAGCAGGAACAUAAGUAGACACCUUUGGUCCAGCAACUUAAGCAGAGGAAUUUAAGUCCAGGAACUUAAGACCACAUUGUUUUUUCACUCAAGGAUCUUAAGUCCAAAUAAUAUAAGCCCAGGAACUAAUGCCUGGGGAAUACAGUUCAAGAACUUCAGCAGUGUUAGUCUGAAACUUUAGCCCAGGAAGCAGAGGAAUGUAUGUCCAGGAAGCGUAGCAAUGCAACUAAAGUGCAUAUUUUCAGUUCAAGAAUUUUAGCUCAGGAACUAAUGCCUGGGAACUACAGUACAACAAUUUUAGUCCAGCAAUUUUAGCUCAGGAAAAAAGCGUAAACCUAAGGCCCAGGAAUUUUUUUUUUUUUUUUGGCACGUUAUUGCACACUCUUCUAAUUUCAUGGUGAUGAAUUAACGUGCUGACGAGGGUGGUAACAUUAAGGUUUAUUUUUUUUGCGCAGGAGAGUCUCAAGAUGUCCUGGGUUCCUGGUUAGGUCCUGUGGACAUGGACCAGAAACCCUGGAACCACCAGGUCUGGCCUUUGGUGGAAAUAAGGAUACAGAGCAAUAAUCUAAUUCGGAAAAAUUCUGAGCUCUGUUUUUUGAAUGUAAUUCCACUGAUGUUAAAUCAGUGCUGUAUUCAGCAUUUAAA
ensembl:lncRNA